UUUGAUUAUGUAUGUGUUAUUAAACGCAUAAUAUUAAUAUCCAUUAGAAGUUAGUACACAUAGCAUAAAAUGAACUAUGAAUUCAAGGAAUUAUAAAGAACUUUUAUUGACACUAAAAUCUAAGAUCAUUUGGGGACCAGGACUUUAGGACGUUGCCACGUUGCAUUGGAUGUCUAGCAAUCCAAAUGCGACUAAAGUCAGGGAAACUCAAAACUGCCCAAAAUGAAAACGUAGGCAAGUAUGUGCCUAACGAACCGGACUCCCCAAGUUCGGAGUCUAGGUACGUUCCGGGUGCGAGAUAGGAUAAGUUCUAUUUAUGCGGGUUACUUAGGCCACAAGCCUCGUGGUGUAUCUAAAUUGAAUUAACGUCUACCUCUCAAACUAUUUGGGAAUAAGAUAAUGAGUCUUAGUUUAAACUCCAAGUAAUCACAAGAACCUUAUACGGGUAAGGAGAGAUCUUCUCGCAUUAUCUCCUCAUUAAUUUGGAGUUAUGAUGGGCCAAUAUUAUACUAUAUAUUUUACCUUAAUUUAUUGGUUAUUUUGGUAGAAUUUUGAUACUUUAAGUUAAAUUUCUAAUGUAGGACAUUUGACUUCCUUUAGAGCAAAAAGUGAUCAAACGGAUGAAUUUUGGAGUGAUUUCUAUUGGAGGAUGUUCGUUAGUCUUUCAAGAUGAUUGUAUCAAAGUUUCAGAUUUUUCUACCAAGCCGUUUGACCGUGGCAAUGAAAUAAAGGUUCAGCGCGCAGCUUUCCCAGAUUGACGUUUCUGGACGUUUUGGGCAUUUUGAAGGUCAAGAUGGAAUAUUUUAAGAAAGAUUUAUUCUGAGUAUUUAUAGGGGACGUCUUAAGCUUUCAAAAGAGACAUUUUGGGACCAAAUCGGAGUUGAUUUGGUUAGUCAAAAGUCUGAUUGUCUGAGAAGUCCGAAUUUUAGUUUAAAUAGGAAACCUUUAAUUUCUGUUUUAUUAUUUUUAUUAUGUUUCCUAGUUUUAUUCUAAGACCUUUUAGGGUUUUAUUUUGUAGUAGUAUAAAUAAGGCUUUUUAGCGAUUAGGGUUUUUUAGAACACAAGAAAUAGAGGAGGAAACACAUGCACACUUUAGAGAGUUUUCCAAGUUUAUUUUCUAGGUGUUUUAUAUCCUUAUUCUCAAUAAUAUUUUGUUUUAUGAUUGUUCGUAACUAAUUAUGAGCCUUAGCAUGAAUAUGUGAUUUUAUUAAUUUGCUUAUGAAUGGAUGCAUGCUUGCUUUGAAUUAUUAAUCACGGCGAUUUAACCUAUCUAAUUGUCUUAGUGAUUCGCGACCAUUAGGGUUUUUAGACAAGUAAAUUGAUGCAAUUUCUGUUGGAACAUCAUCCUAAAAUUGAGGAGGGCUUCUUGUGAUUAGUAAUUGUAAGUUCACUGAAAGUGAACAUCAUGCUCUUAAGGGUUGCAUGGUUUUUCAAAGGGUUUUCACAAAACUUAAUGAGUCUUGCAUGUUUAUAUUUGAUCUGAACAUCACAGAUGGGUUGCAUGUUAGAUAUAUGUUUUUUCUUGAACAUCACGAGGAAAAUAUGCAUUAGGAAAACCUAAUUUCAAAGCAUGUGUGUGGAAAUUCAUAAAUAAUUGAUAAAAUUGCGUAGGAUUGUUAAGGGGACAACGGAACCUUAGGCUUUUACAAAUUAAUUUUCUUUUAAAUUGUUGUCUAGUUAAUUUCUUUAAUUGUUUUAUUUUAAAAUUCGUUUUUAUUAUAUUAAAUUCUACAAUCAACAUUUUCCAAACUUUGUUUUAAAUAAUUAAUUAAGAGUUGGUUUUAAACAAAAAUUAUUCAUUCAAUCCCUAUGAAAAACGACCUUACUUGAGCUGCUAUACUACAACAACCUUGUACUCUUGCAAGUAUUUUCAAGUGUUUUUAUCUCUAUUGGUAAAAAAACCCUAUCAAGUUACACCAACGCCAGGGUUCAUAAUUCCCAAAGGACUCCCCAUCCAACACUAUGAAUAGAUAUGUCUAUGUACCCAACAAACUAAACCUACUGCUUUGAGAAUCACAAGUUCUAUUCUAACGUGACUGUCGGAGGGUCCUUGGCUAGCACCAGAUCAGUGCCUUCUAAGCACUUUGAGGUUUUCUACUUAUUUUGCAAGUUCAAUCUCAAUCGUCUAGACCAGUGCUACAAUUUGUGUUCCAACAAUCAUAAUACACUUUCCUCUCGUAAAACUAUAAAAGAGAAAUUACACUUUAAGAAAUGCAUGACGAUUGUUUUAAAAUAUCAACAACUCCCAAACGUAUCGAUUAAAACGAUAGUGUAUGCUUGUCCUGCUAGAAAUUCGGAUCUCCAAACUUUCAGUUAUUGUAGUGAUUGUAUUAAUCUGACAUUAGGAGGCCACAGCAUUUAAGAAAACAAUUGUUAAAUAGCAAGUUGGAAGGAAUCUUAAUCUUUAAUCGUCAAGGGAACAUAUCUUGAUGCUAGCCACCAUGAAAUUUAUUUCGUAAUUAUGCUUUCAAAGGUGAUUGAAAGGUUAAUUAAGGACUACAAAUUUGCAAAAGUUCAAACCCACUAUCUCACUUAUUUAUUUAUUUAUUUUUUUAAAGGUGGGCUAGGAAUGUAACUUGACCUAGGAACAAAACUUUGGAUUAAACAAACAAUAAUGUGCUUAUUAAUUUAAUCACUAAAUCAGUUGAAAUGGGUAAAUUCAUUCUUUAGGCACCAAACCAAAUCAAGAAACUUCGUAUGAAGGCAAUAAACAAAUCCUGUGCUGCAGCAUGAUAAAGAAUUAAAAUAGAUUUAGCUGCACUUCAUGUCAUGCGCACGGCAUAAUGAUGAAACUUGUAUAGAACUUUAACUGAUAUCCAUUUAAAAAAUGAGAGCAAACUUUUAGUCUUUUUUAGGUAAAUUUGGGUUCUUUUAUUCAUAAUGUGCAAAGUCUAACGCUCUUAAAUCUUAAUCAAGAGGUACAACGCGACAGGUGCGGUUAGGUCAGUUUGCAAAUGUGUUCUCUCAUUUGCACUUAAGUUUGAAUUACUCCCUUGAGAUAUUAGAGUAUAUUUUAUACAUUGAUAUAGGAUAUAUGUUGUCAAAAAAUGAGAAGUCACAAUUAUGCUAUGCUGCCUUUAUGAAAAGGCACAUGUACUGGAAGAAUUUCAAAUGGGAUUAAAAGAACAUCAACUUGGUCUCUGAUCAAAUUAUCGAAUAUAAUGUAGCCACACAUGCCAAGACGAUUGCUGAGGCUGCAGUUUUUGUAGCUUUUGUUUGUGGGUUCAGGGUCACCGCACAUUUGCUUGUAUUGAGACACAUAUUACGACAAUUUUUAACUGCUAUAGCCUAUAGGGUACAUGGGACAGAAUUAGACUUCACCAUGUGCUUUUCUAACAAACUGAUGCAUCUUUUGGAUAAAUUUGCAUCAUGUGAUGAGUGUUAUAAUUAAUCAAUAUAACAAUGGAUUGAAGUUUUGUAGAUUAUCAAAAAUGGUAAUAGGUUAUGUUAGAUUAUUAUCUAUUUAUAUUUAUAUUUGUAUAGUGUUCGUGUUAAAUUGUAAAUUAAUUAAUAUUAUAAUAUAAAAAUAAUAAUAUCAUAAUAUAAUAAGUGUUGUAGGCCUAAUUGACUGAACUAUUCUAAGGGAAUAGAGAGGGGGAGGCUGGCAGCAAUAAGAGAGAGAAGAGAGAGAUUUAAUUGUGAGGUGUGUUGUAUUUCAACCCAUUGUGCCUUUAUUUAUAGUAGUAGGAUAGGUUAAAUCCUUACCCUAAUAUGUUACAACUCUAAUAGAAUAUUAUCUACUAAGGGAAAUAUUCCAAGAUAUCCCUAGAUACACUAUAAUUUACACAAUCACAUUCCUAUUCUAAAUAUGACUGCAACACUCCCCCUUGAGGGUGUAAAUACUCAAACAAAACUUCGCAUUAGGUCUUCAGCAAUUGAGGUUAGGGGUGGGGACGGGCC
rnacentral:lncRNA from 1 species